rnacentral:tRNA from 1 species
GCGCCCGUAGCUCAGUUGGACUAGAGCAUUUGCCUUCUAAGCAAAGGGUCGCAGGUUCGAAUCCUGCCGGGCGCGCCA